GACGAACGCUGGCGGCGUGCUUAACACAUGCAAGUCGAACGGGAAGGCCCUGCUUUUGUGGGGUGCUCGAGUGGCGAACGGGUGAGUAACACGUGAGUAACCUGCCCUUGACUUUGGGAUAACUUCAGGAAACUGGGGCUAAUACCGGAUAGGAGCUCCUGCUGCAUGGUGGGGGUUGGAAAGUUUCGGCGGUUGGGGAUGGACUCGCGGCUUAUCAGCUUGUUGGUGGGGUAGUGGCUUACCAAGGCUUUGACGGGUAGCCGGCCUGAGAGGGUGACCGGCCACAUUGGGACUGAGAUACGGCCCAGACUCCUACGGGAGGCAGCAGUGGGGAAUAUUGCACAAUGGGCGGAAGCCUGAUGCAGCAACGCCGCGUGCGGGAUGACGGCCUUCGGGUUGAAAACCGCUUUCGCCUGUGACGAAGCGUGAGUGACGGUAAUGGGUAAAGAAGCACCGGCUAACUACGUG
rnacentral:rRNA from 1 species